rnacentral:rRNA from 1 species
GAUGAACGCUGGCGGCGUGCCUAAUACAUGCAAGUCGAGCGAACAGACGAGGAGCUUGCUCCUUUGACGUUAGCGGCGGACGGGUGAGUAACACGUGGAUAACCUACCUAUAAGACUGGGAUAACUUCGGGAAACCGGAGCUAAUACCGGAUAAUAUAUUGAACCGCAUGGUUCAAUAGUGAAAGACGGUUUUGCUGUCACUUAUAGAUGGAUCCGCGCCGCAUUAGCUAGUUGGUAAGGUAACGGCUUACCAAGGCGACGAUGCGUAGCCGACCUGAGAGGGUGAUCGGCCACACUGGAACUGAGACACGGUCCAGACUCCUACGGGAGGCAGCAGUAGGGAAUCUUCCGCAAUGGGCGAAAGCCUGACGGAGCAACGCCGCGUGAGUGAUGAAGGUCUUCGGAUCGUAAAACUCUGUUAUUAGGGAAGAACAAAUGUGUAAGUAACUGUGCACGUCUUGACGGUACCUAAUCAGAAAGCCACGGCUAACUACGUG